rnacentral:rRNA from 1 species
CCCUUGGUUGAUCCUGCCGGAAGCUACUGCUAUUGGAAUUCUACUAAGCCAUGCGAGUCAAGGUGUCUUCGGACGCCGGCAAACGGCUCAGUAACACGUAGGAAAUCUACCCUCAGGACUGAGAUAACCCCGGGAAACUGGGGCUAAUACCAGAUAGAUAAAAGAUACUGGAAUGUUCUUUUAUCCAAAGCUUUUGUGCCUGAGGAUGAGCCUGCGCCCGAUUAGGUAGUUGGUGGGGUAAUGGCCCACCA